GCGGCAGUGUGACAUGGUGGCCAUCAAUCAUCAGAUGUCCGUCUAUAAAUACACCUGCUUGGAACUUCCUCUUUCUCUUCCUCCCUCUCGGAGUCGGCAGACACGUGCGUGUUGGCCUGCCGCGUGAGCUUGUACGGCACAGAGUGGUGUUGGGUUUUGCCACGAGCAGCGUGGUGUGACAGGGAGCUGGGCUACCUCAGGUGUUCCUUGUGGGCGUGGUGCACUUCCUGCGACCUCCGGUACUCUCUGCUCAUAAAACUUUGAUACUGCGUGGAAGCACCGUGUCAAGAUCUGAAAAUGAGCAUUUCGCUUCGGACCACAUAUUAGAGAAGGU